rnacentral:rRNA from 1 species
AACACGUGGGUGAUCUGCCCUGCACUUCGGGAUAAGCCUGGGAAACUGGGUCUAAUACCGGAUAGGAGCCAUUUUUAGUGUGAUGGUUGGAAAGUUUUUUCGGUGUAGGAUGAGCUCGCGGCCUAUCAGCUUGUUGGUGGGGUAAUGGCCUACCAAUGCGGCGACGGGUAUCCGGCCUGAGAGGGUGGACGGCCACAUUGGGACUGAGAUACGGCCCAGACUCCUACGGGAGGCAGCAGUGGGGAAUAUUGCACAAUGGGCGCAAGCCUGAUGCAGCGACGCCGCGUGGGGGAUGACGGCCUUCGGGUUGUAAACUCCUUUCGCUAGGGACGAAGCUUUUGUGACGGUACCUAGAUAAGAAGCACCGGCUAACUACGUGCCAGCAGCCGCGGUAAUACGUAGGGUGCGAGCGUUGUCCGGAAUUACUGGGCGUAAAGGGCUCGUAGGUGGUUUGUCGCGUCGUCUGUGAAAUUCCGGGGCUUAACUCCGGGCGUGCAGGCGAUACGGGCAUAACUUGAGUACUGUAGGGGUAACUGGAAUUCCUGGUGUAGCGGUGAAAUGCGCAGAUAUCAGGAGGAACACCGAUGGCGAAGGCAGGUUACUGGGCAGUUACUGACGCUGAGGAGCGAAAGCAUGGGUAGCGAACAGGAUUAGAUACCCUGGUAGUCCAUGCCGUAAACGGUGGGCGCUAGGUGUG